UGGAAUGGCCGUGCACCUAUUUACCUAGGGUGCCAGGAGAAGGUAAGUGGCAUCCUAGGUAAGCGGUGAAAUGCGGUAGAUAUUAAGGAGGAUCACAGUGCGAAGCGCUACUGGACUGUACUGACGUUGAGCUCGAAAGCGUGGGGAGCAAACAGGAUCAGAUACCUGGUAGUCCACGCUGUAACGAUGAUACUAGGUGUCGGGGGCUAUAGCUCGGUGCCGCAGCAAACGCAAUAAGUAAUCCACCUGGGGAGUACGUUCGCAAGAAUGAAACUCUAAGGAAUGACGGGGACCCGCACAAGCGGUGGAGCAUGUGGUUUAAUUCGAAGCAACGCGAAGAACCUUACCAAAUCUUGACAUCCCUCUGACAGAGUAUGUAAUGUACUUUUCCUUCGGGACAGAGGAGACAGGUGGUGCAUGGUUGUCGUCAGCUCGUGUCGUGAGAUGUUGGGUUAAGUCCCGCAACGAGCGCAACCCUUGUCUUUAGUAGCCAGCAAGUUAAGUUGGGCACUCUAGAGAGACUGCCAGGGAUAACCUGGAGGAAGGUGGGGAUGACGUCAAAUCAUCAUGCCCCUUAUGAUUUGGGCUACACACGUGCUACAAUGGCGUAAACAAAGAGAAGCGACCCUGUGAAGGUGGAGCAAUUCUCAAAAAUAACGUCUCAGUUCGGAUUGUAGUCUGCAACUCGA
rnacentral:rRNA from 1 species